rnacentral:lncRNA from 1 species
AUUAUAAAAAGGGGACUACAAUCCUAGAGUUGGACUCAAGCACAAGCAUUUCUCAUUAUUUUGCAGAAGACACUAAGGUUUUCAGAAAUUAAAUUGCUUUUUGGAAAAGGUGGGAGAUUCUGGGAACAUAGAAACUUGAAUCCAGUUUUCUUCAACUCCACGUCAAGACAGUUGCAUUGUGUGAGAAAAUAGCUACGGCCAUUUGUGUAACUGAUCUGAUAAUGUCAACUUUUGAAAACAGAUAGUUAUGACUCAAGGCUUUGAGAAUGUAAAGAGACCACCUUCACAUGUUGAGAAAUGGUACGAUUUCACGUUAUCAGUGCAGUUCUGUUCUCAGGGGGAAAGCCCAUCUGUACUACCAGGAGACUGGAUCCUCAAAGUAGACACUUGGUCUCAUGAAGCCACUGCUGGGCUCCAGAGAGAAGGAAAAACUAAGAGGUUUUAAAACCCCCACCCUCCUUGGUUUACCUCCAUCAUUAAAAAACAACAAUGACAACAACAAAAAAAACAAAACUAAAAUGACUUAUUAUUUAUUAAUUAUGUUGUGGCAGACAAUACACUGAACAUUAGGCAUAAUUAAAUUCUUUUUAAAAAUUGAUAAUUUAUCUCUGUUUUAUAGAAGUGUGAAACUGUCAGGAAGACAGAUGAAAUGAUUUGCCUGAGGCCGUAUCAUCAAACAAGAAAUUCAUAUUCACCUUUCUGGAAUUCUUAGGAUAA